UAUUCUCAUCAACUUCACAUACUUUAUCUUAGGCAAAAUCUUCCAUUUCUCUUCACACAAAGAAAACAAAUUGGGGAAAAACACAGAAAAAAGAAGAAGAAAGAAAAUGAAUUCUCCUCCAAAAUAUCAAAAUAUGUCAUAUUAUGAUCAUGUCCAAAGGCGCCGAGAAGAAAAGGGAUGCCUCUAUGCUUGCAUGUUCACUCUAUGUUGCUGUUUCUGCUGCUACGAAACUUGCGAGAGCUGCUUAGAUUGUGUCUGCUGUUGCUGCCCUUGAAACAAAAAAUUACUGUAUUUUACAAGAUUGUUAUUAGUAUUUAAUAUUAGUAUUUAAUAUUUCAAUAAAUGGGAUGUUAGGAUGUUACAUAUCACUAUUGUAUCUACUAUGUUUUAUAUCCUUGUAAUUUAAUUUCUCUCUACUCCAAGUGAAAUUUCAAUACUUUUCUCGAAAAGUUGUUGAAUUA